GCAAUUUUAUUUUUAUUUUUAUUUUUAUUUUACCCCGAUUAGUUCGUUUGUUGCAUGCCAAGCACUCGCUCUAGAGGCGAAAGAUUGGUGCAACUAGUUAGCGAACCCGAACGUCUUUUAAGACGUAGAAAUUUAGAAAAUCAAUUAGAGAUUCCUCUUCCCGAUUUAGUUAUGGCUGAAGCCCAACAAGAACUACCACUAAGGUCCUACGUUAUUCCUUCGCAAGAAGAACCGCACAAUAGCAUCGCU
rnacentral:lncRNA from 1 species